UGAAGAAAUUGGGUCCCUCUAUAUGGUUGUCAAGAUGCAACAACUUCUCCAAAACUACGACAUUCGUAACGAAACCCUAAAAGAUGUUGCUUCGUACAUGCUAAAAGCAAUGGUUUUAGAUCUUGAAGGUUUAGGUUGGCUAUUCCAAAGCUUAGUGUACAUGGUAUGGUUUCUGCUGUGAAAGAUAUUUUAGAGCAGGCACCAUUAAAUAAGUUUGUUGAAAGCAUGGCGAAGUCUUAGUUAUAGUCUGAAAACAACUCUCGGUAGCAUGGUUUCUCACUUGGCUCUUUGAAUUAUUGGAUUAGCGCGACAUCGACGAAUCUGCGGACGUGGAAAAUAAUAGCGUUCUCUCCAAGGACAUGGAACCGCGGUGUCGACGAAUCCGUCAUCCAAGAAAUCCCAACGUUCCAGUUCACAAAAGGGGCAGGCAGCGAUGAUUAUCAAAGUGUCAAAGGUUGUGCGGAUUUGUAAGCUAUUUCCAUUGUAAAAGCCAUAACAUUUUUGAAGUUUUAAAUAUGCGUAAAAUGUCGACUCCUCUUUGAGAAAAGACAAAUAUGAUUAAGUAUUAUUUAAGCGGAUCUGACUGUUGCGGUGGAGCUUUUGAGACAAAUCGGUGGCCACUGUGGUGCGAUAACAGAAUCCGUUGUAAGGAGACUUCAUGUAAUAUAGUUCUUG